GGCCGGGGGAGGGCCGGCCGCCUGCGCAGGGGGUCCACGCCCGCGGGGUCGGGCGCAGUGUCCGGCGCGCGGCGACGUGGUGGGCAGAGCUGAGCCGGCCCGUGAAGGGAGCCCGGGCCGCCUGCCUCCCUGGCCCCGGCCCCGGCACUCCUGCCAGCUCGGCGCCGGCUUCCUGCACUUCAGCUUCCCCCAAACGCAGCUGAGCCUCCGCGCCCCCUCCCGCCCGGCCGAGCCGGGGAGCACUUCCAGGCCGAGACGCGCCCGAAGAAGGGGCUGCGGCGGAGGGGGCGGGGGAGCCGCACACCCUGAGCUCUGCUGGGGAGGAGGCCCAGUGGGCCACCAGGCCUCGUGUCCACCUCGGUUGGCAGCUGUGAGGAGGCCAGAGGAGGGCACUGCUGGUCCCCCAGCAGCCGAUGGGCACCCCACCCUCCACCCUUAUCCCACCUGCUUUCGAAAAUGUCUUCAGUCAUCUAGAAAAAGAAAAAUUACAGAGAAAGUCCGACUCCUGUUGUCUUCCUCAUCCAGCUGGAAGGCCACCUCCGCAGAUUCGUCAGGGAGGGGGCACGACCUGUUCAAGGCCACACACGGGUGGCGCAGCCCUGAUGCCUUCACCUCCCUCGGCCAAAAUGUCCUCUCCUGUAAGUGGGAGUGAGGAGGCCCUCCCUGCGGGCUGUGGCGGGGGGCAGCUCGGGCUGGCGCAGACAGGGGGGCUGUGGCUUACUGGCCGCCCUCUUCUCUGGACCUGGCACAGCCACAGGAGUGAUGUCCAGAGAACAGCCGUUGGCAUGCUUGGGGGAGGACCUGGAUUUGAGGAAAUACCUUCCCGUCUGUCGAGCCCUCAGGACCCUUAGUUUCACUGCGGCUCUCUCUGUCCUAUCGAGACCCCAGGAGCCGGGGGAUGGCUCCGUCCACACUUUCCCAGGAGAGGGCAGCAGCUCCCAAGCCUCUGGACAAGAACUCUGAGCUCUGAGACGCAGCAACACCCGCCCAGGACGUCACUGCCACCCCUGUGCUUGUGCCCCUUUCAGGAUAUUGGGGGGUUCUGAGCACCUACUAUGUGCUGGGCUUGGUGUUGGGUGCUUCUCGUGAUCCAUUUUGUUCUCAAGCCACCCAGUGAAGUGAGGAUUGUUUGCCUUGUUUUUAAAUGAAGGAGUCUGAGCUCUGGCACGCAGAUCUCCGUGAGUCCAAAUCUCGUGGGCGCUGCCUCCCAGUGGGUGACGGACCAGCCGACCAAGUCGGGGCGGGGGCUUGCCUCUACCACCACUUCUGUCCCUCAUGGGUGACCAGCCAUGACAACGCCAUGUGGCUGGGACCCUGUCUUCCCAGCACCCACGCCAGACCUGCAUGUGGUGGGCACCCCAGUGUCUUUUGGAUGAAUGACUCCCAGAGACCAAGAGCCAUGGGCCUUGGACCCAUCCCUGGCCCAGCGCUCUGGCCCCACCUCCUCAGAGACCCACUGAGGGCCCGACAUCUGGUGUUGGCUUCCGAAGGCUUCCAACUGUGCCACUUCCAACUCAUUACCGCUAAUGUUUGGGGACACCCUGCAUACGACAGAUGCUAUUAGAAACCCAGAUUCCGUUCUAUCAGGAAGCAAUGCUAAGAGAGCACAGAGCAGGUUAGGGAGGGGAAGAUUGAUGAGCCAAGGCCCCUGGAAGAUGAAUGAGGGACGUUCUCCUUGCCAGAUUAUUUUUAUUUAUUACACUUGCUUUUUGUUAAAGACACAGACACCCCGAUCUCUGCAGCCCAGCGCUGGAGGGAUGGGCGUGUCUCUCAAAGCUCAGAAGGGUGUGGGGGGCCGGGUUGGGGCGGGGGUCCGGUGGGUUUACAAGGCGUGACUCAGGUCAGCAAGCCUCUGGAAAGAGGAUCAAUCUCGGGACCCAGCUGUGGGGAGACGUCAGCUCCAUGCCUUGGCAGUGGAGCAGGGCUGGGUGUCCACCUGGUGGGCGCCCUUCCCAAUGGGGCUUGCCCCUAAACCAAGGAGUUGGGCAGGGCCGAGCCUUGAGAGAUUGGCCAGCGCAGCAGUUCUGGCCUGGGGUAGCCCUGCAGGAGCUCCUUGGCACCUUGUUUCUGGCCCUGAGAGGGCAAGGGUGGUAUUUGGGAGCAGUAGCAAAUGUACCGAGAGGCGUGAUGGCUGCGUCCUUGAGGAGCCCGCCGUUAGCAGGGACGUCAUUCAUUCACCCAUUCAGCAGAUGGUUCUGGACGGUCUCCUAUGCUCUGUUCUGGGCGCUGGCGAUCCAUCAAAGAAGAAAACGGAGUCUCUGCCUUCUAGACAAGUCAGUGGACACCGUGACCCCAGAGGGAAGUGCUGUGAGAGAGGGAUGUGCACAGAGGAGUGUCCCCCUGACCGUCAGGAGGCGUCAGAAGAGGCUUCUCAGAGGGCAAGUCCAGCGGGGCCUGAGCUCAGGAGGUUACCAGUCAGAGCGCGGGGAGGAGCAUUCCGGGGCAUGGGCCCGGCCGUGGCACUGUGAGGACAUCGUCCAGUGGAUUUGAGCUGAGGGACUGCGGGGGCAGGGGAAGGGAGAGGAGGCAGGAAAGACAGGCUGGGCCCCGCCCACUUGUGAAAAGCUUGGACUUCAUCCUGGAGACAAAGGAGUCAAGUCGCAGAGUCGUCAGAAGAGAGGGACUUUCCGCCCUGAGGCCCGGUUCAGACUGCCCAGGGAGGGUCCCUCCCUCCCACUCUGUCCCUGCCUCUGCCCUGAGGCGGGGGGCUCUGGCUCCACAUCCCAGGCGUUGGUGCAGAUGCUGCCACUCCAUCCACCCUCUGGAAGAGGAGGCAGGGCCUGGCCCGGCUGCAGCCACGUUGGCAGGGUCACUGCCCCAGUCCCUGGCCUGUCGCUCUGGCUCACCCCCACCCGCUCACUGCCCGUCCUCUAGCCUCCUCCUCUUCUGCUUCCCGGUUCCCUGGGUGAACUCUUCCGGGUCAGGCUUCUCUCCGCAGGCCUCUGCUGCUCCCCAGGGAGGAAGACCAGCUGCAGUUUUAGCCCCUUGCCCAUUGCCUGGCUGAGAGAGGGUUAAGGGCUACUUGUUGAAUUCCGAAGCCUGGAGGGUUCCGGAACAGCAGCCUGGGCAGCAGCAAUGAGCCCCUUAACCUGACCUCAAGAACUUGCUGGAUGGAGCAUUGCAGAGAGAAAGCAGCAGACAGCCUGGUGGUUGCCGGCCUCGCCUCCCUUCCCAGUUGUCGGGAGGAGCCAUGGAGAACACCAUGAAGACGAAGGGCGAACUGGACCUCACGUGCCCCGGACGCCUCUCGGCUGGACUCCUGGAUGGAGAAGCAGGCAAGCAGAGGCUCAGAGAGGUUAAGGGGCUUGCCCAAGGUCACACAGCCCAGGGAAAGGGCAGAGUGGAGCUGCACCCAGUUCCAUCCAUUUCAGUCUCCUCUCCUGCCAUUCUGCCUUUCUCAUCUUCAGCCUGACCCGAUCUGCAGACAAACAGUUGCGGAGGGUCCGGCGGGGCCGGGCUCAGGGAGCGGAGGGCUGACGUUCUGAGCUCGAAGGCCGCACCGUCCAAAACGGCCGCCAGGAACCACACACGGCUCUUUAAGUUUAAUUAAAAUGAAAUAAAAUUAAAAAUUUAGUUCGUUGGUCUCACUUGUCACAUUUUAAGUGCUCGAUGUCCACAUGUGGCUCGAUAUCCACAUGUUGGAUAACACAGAUAUAGGACGUUUCUGGCACCGCAGGCAGUUCCACUGGGCAGCAUUGUUCUAAGCCAUCAGCGAGUCUGCCCCGUCUCCUCCUGACCGUCCUGGUGGAGGGGGAGUCGCUGACACAGGUGACAGACACGCCUGCUCUGAGGCAGCUCCCUCUGCAGCCGAGGCACCUGUGAUGCCAUCCUGCCACUCUACUCACCAACCGAGGCCUCGCUACUCCAGGUGUGGUCCAGGACCGCAGCAUCAGCAGCUCCCGGCAGCUUGUUAGAGACACAGGAUCUUGGGCUUCAUGCCAGACCCACUGAACGUGAACCUGCACUUUAACGAGAUCCCCAGGUGACUCAGGUGCACAUUUCAAGUUUGAGAAGCUCUGACUUAAGAGACAGACUGAGCGGGAUCAAAAUAUUGCCCCAGAUAUAGGAAACCAAACCGAUAUUUUUAGAUACAAAAAAUCAGCAUCAGCACCCCUCUCCCCGCAGGAGUGUGUGAUUCAGCUUCAGUCGCAGUCGGUUGAGCAUCUCUGUGCCACGUGAUCAAUGAGCAUAUUUCCAAGGACAGACCCCCAGGGGGGUAGGUGGGAGGAGCUGGCCCAUUCCCCAUCUCCAGCAUCUUCUCAAACCACCAUGGGAUCACCUCCCCAAAGCAAAAGGAGCAGAACUGAGAUCCGCAUCUUGGCUCUCAGGGACGCUGCCUUUAAAUCAGAUUUUCUGUUUUUGCUUUUCCUUCCAAUGUAUUUGGUUUUUGAACUUUGCAAAUUGCCAAAGACACAAAGUGAUGCACAGAGCCAGUCUGAACAAACUCAGUCUCUUAACGGGAGGCAUCUGGAAAAGGACCAUGCCCGACCCCUUCCCGGGGGUGUGAUGCUCCUCGGGCCUCAGUGCUGGGAGCCAGGUGCUAACGAAGGUUUCUGGGCAGGAAGCAGCAGCAAGCCCAUCUGUGAAGAAAACAGGUGCAAAAGGUGGUUUCAUCCUCGGGGAGGGCAAAGACGAGGCUCAAAAUGAGACUGGCAGACGCCGAGCCCGGCUGGGGAAGGACGUGCCACUUCAGGCCCGGUCCCCUGAGCUUGGAUUCAGCAGCUCCUCCUUCGGGAGGGUGACUCAUCUCUUAAUUCCUCUCUCCUCUCAGCCUACCUUGGGUUUUACUUAUUUUUAUCCUUGGAAUGGAGUGAAGUUGCCAAAAGGAUAUUGUUCCACCUGCAAGGGCCCUCCUGGAGGAUGAAUUUUCAAAUAUUCAUUUCUACAACUUGCUCGCAGCAAUAACGCAGAAGACAAGAGCGCCUGGGGAGGAGAGGGGGACAGCGACAUGGGUCCCGGGGGGAGCCUGGGGCCUUGGGGAACUGAGAAGUGGGCUUUGCAAUGGAGAGACAUUCCAGGACUUGACUCUCAGGAGUUAGACAAGAGGAAUAAGGGGAAUGCUCAGUACGCUUUCAAAAUUCUCUUUAUAAUGCUGAAAAAAUCAAAGCCAAACCUGCAGAGCUCCUGCUGUUUUUGCCUGGCCAGCUGGCAGCUUCAUUAUUUUGGUGGCAAACUUCAUGGUUUCUCGAGGGAAGAGCCCGUUGCCCACUGCACGGGGCCUUGGUGGCUCCGUCAGUCACGAUGUCCUGCUCUCCACUUGGCUGGGGAGCACGUGACCCAGGCCAGGCCAAUUGGAAGCUCUCUUCCUCCAAGGGAGACACAGCAGGACGGGGAAUCGUUUGGACUCUCCCGUCCUGAUGGCCUGCCUGGAUCCCUGGGCAAAGCCUCUUCCUAGUCUUUCUUGAGGUCUGGCUGUCUAUUCUUCUAAGAGUGCAUGAAUCACCCCAAGGCAUUUCAAUACAGGGUUUUUUUUUUUUUGCUUAAGUUGGACAGAGUUGGUUUCUCUUAUUUGUACUUAAGAACCCAAACUGACACAAACACAAAUGCCCAGCAACAGGGGCUCGGAUCCAGAAAGCAUGAUACAGCACACGAUGGAAUACUACACAGCCAGGUACAGUAAGGAGGUAAAUGUAUAUUUGCUGACAUGGAAAGAUGUUUACAGAAUACAGUCAAGAGCAAAAGCAGAUUAUAAUAAAACAGUAUGCACAGUAUACCAUGUUUGCAAAAUAGAUUCUGUACAUUCAUAGAAAAA